rnacentral:rRNA from 1 species
GAUGAACGCUAGCGGCAGGCUUAACACAUGCAAGUCGAGGGGUAACAGGGGAGCUUGCUCCCGCUGACGACCGGCGGACGGGUGCGUAACGCGUAUGCAACCUACCCAUAACAGGGGGAUAGCCCAGAGAAAUUUGGAUUAAUACCUCAUAAUACUAUUUAGUUGCAUGAUUGAAUAGUUAAAGAUUUAUCGGUUAUGGAUGGGCAUGCGUGCCAUUAGUUAGUUGGUAAGGUAACGGCUUACCAAGGCAACGAUGGCUACGGGGUCUGAAAGGAUGGUCCCGCACACUGGUACUGAGACACGGACCAGACUCCUACGGGAGGCAGCAGUGAGGAAUAUUGGUCAAUGGGUGAGAGCCUGAACCAGCCAUGCCGCGUGCAGGAAGACUGCCCUAUGGGUUGUAAACUGCUUUUUUAUAUAGGAAUAAAAAAGCUUUACGUGUAGGUUAUUGAAUGUACUAUAUGAAUAAGCAUCGGCUAACUCCGUGCCAGCCGCCGCGGUAA